rnacentral:rRNA from 1 species
GUCUAUAGCCAUAUCACCCUGAAUGUGUCUGGUCUCCUUUAUCUCAGAAGCUUAGCAGGGUUGGACCUGGUUAGUAUUCAGAUAGGAGAUGAUAAUUAUUCAGAAAUAGGAAUGUUAAAAAUU